rnacentral:rRNA from 1 species
AAAACUUUCAACAACGGAUCUCUUGGUUCUGGCAUCGAUGAAGAACGCAGCGAAAUGCGAUAAGUAAUGUGAAUUGCAGAAUUCAGUGAAUCAUCGAAUCUUUGAACGCACAUUGCGCCCGCCAGCAUUCUGGCGGGCAUGCCUGUUCGAGCGUCAUUUCAACCCUCAAGCUCUGCUUGGUGUUGGGGCCCUACGGUUGACGUAGGCCCUUAAAGGUAGUGGCGGACCCUCUCGGAGCCUCCUUUGCGUAGUAACUAACGUCUCGCACUGGGAUUCGGAGGGACUCUUGCCGUAAAACCCCCAAAUUUUUAAAGGUUGACCUCGGAUCAGGUAGGAAUACCCGCUGAACUUAAGCAUAUCAAUAAGCGGAGGAAAAGAAACCAACAGGGAUUGCCCCAGUAACGGCGAGUGAAGCGGCAACAGCUCAAAUUUGAAAUCUGGCCCCAGGCCCGAGUUGUAAUUUGCAGAGGAUGCUUUUGGCGCGGUGCCUUCCGAGUUCCCUGGAACGGGACGCCAUAGAGGGUGAGAGCCCCGUACGGUUGGACACCAAGCCUUUGUAAAGCUCCUUCGACGAGUCGAGUAGUUUGGGAAUGCUGCUCAAAAUGGGAGGUAUAUUUCUUCUAAAGCUAAAUAUUGGCCAGAGACCGAUAGCGCACAAGUAGAGUGAUCGAAAGAUGAAAAGCACUUUGAAAAGAGGGUUAAACAGCACGUGAAAUUGUUGAAAGGGAAGCGCUUGUGACCAGACUUGCGCCCGGUGAAUCACCCAGCUCUCGCGGCUGGGGCACUUUGCCGGCACAGGCCAGCAUCAGCUUGCCGUCGGGGACAAAAGCUUCGGGAACGUAGCUCUCUUCGGGGAGUGUUAUAGCCCGUUGCAUAAUACCCUUCGGCGGGCUGAGGUACGCGCUCCGCAAGGAUGCUGGCGUAAUGGUCAUCAGCGACCCGUCUUGAAACACGGACCAAGGAGUCAACCUUAUGUGCGAGUGUUUGGGUGUUAAACCCCUACGCGUAAUGAAAGUGAACGCAGGUGAGAGCUUCGGCGCAUCAUCGACCGAUCCUGAUGUUCUCGGAUGGAUUUGAGUAAGAGCAUAUAGGGUUGGACCCGAAAGAAGGUGAACUAUGCGUGUAUAGGGUGAAGCCAGAGGAAACUCUGGUGGAGGCUCGCAGCGGUUCUGACGUGCAAAUCGAUCGUCAAAUAUGCGCAUGGGGGCGAAAGACUAAUCGAACCUUCUAGUAGCUGGUUUCCGCCGAAGUUUCCCUCAGGAUAGCAGUGUUGAACUCAGUUUUAUGAGGUAAAGCGAAUGAUUAGGGACUCGGGGGCGCUAUAUUGCCUUCAUCCAUUCUCAAACUUUAAAUAUGUAAGAAGCCCUUGUUACUUAAUUGAACGUGGGCAUUCGAAUGUAUCAACACUAGUGGGCCAUUUUUGGUAAGCAGAACUGGCGAUGCGGGAUGAACCGAACGCGAGGUUAAGGUGCCAGAGUAGUCGCUCAUCAGACACCACAAAAGGUGUUAGUACAUCUUGACAGCAGGACGGUGGCCAUGGAAGUCGGAAUCCGCUAAGGACUGUGUAACAACUCACCUGCCGAAUGUACUAGCCCUGAAAAUGGAUGGCGCUCAAGCGACUCACCCAUACCUCGCCCUCAGUGUAGAAACGAUGCGCUGAGGAGUAGGCGGACGUGGAGGUCAGUGACGAAGCCUAGGGCGUGAGCCCGGGUAGAACGGCCUCUAGUGCAGAUCUUGGUGGUAGUAGCAAAUACUUCAAUGAGAACUUGAAGGACCGAAGUGGGGAAAGGUUCCAUGUGAACAGCGGUUGGACAUGGGUUAGUCGAUCCUAAGCCAUAGGGAAGUUCCGUUUCAAAGGGGCACUUGUGCCCCGUAUGGCGAAAGGGAAGCCGGUCAAUAUUCCGGCACCUGGAUGUGGGUUUUGCGCGGCAACGCAACUGAACGCGGAGACGACGGCGGGGGCCCCGGGCAGAGUUCUCUUUUCUUCUUAACGGUCUAUCACCCUGAAAUCGGUUUGUCCGGAGCUAGGGUUUAACGGCCGGAAGAGCCCAGCACUUCUGUUGGGUCCGGUGCGCUCUCGACGUCCCUUGAAAAUCCGCGGGAAGGAAUAAUUCUCACGCCAGGUCGUACUCAUAACCGCAGCAGGUCUCCAAGGUGAACAGCCUCUGGUUGAUAGAACAAUGUAGAUAAGGGAAGUCGGCAAAACAGAUCCGUAACUUCGGGAUAAGGAUUGGCUCUAAGGGUUGGGUACGUUGGGCUUUAGGCGGACGGCUCGGGAGCAGGUCGCCACUAGCCGGGCAACCGGCCGGAGGCUUCCAGCAUCUGGGUUCUGACGCCUUUAGCAGGCUUCGGCCGUCCGGCGUACGGUUAACAACCAACUUAGAACUGGUACGGACAAGGGGAAUCUGACUGUCUAAUUAAAACAUAGCAUUGCGAUGGCCAGAAAGUGGUGUUGACGCAAUGUGAUUUCUGCCCAGUGCUCUGAAUGUCAAAGUGAAGUAAUUCAACCAAGCGCGGGUAAACGGCGGGAGUAACUAUGACUCUCUUAAGGUAGCCAAAUGCCUCGUCAUCUAAUUAGUGACGCGCAUGAAUGGAUCAACGAGAUUCCCACUGUCCCUAUCUACUAUCUAGCGAAACCACAGCCAAGGGAACGGGCUUGGCA